AGAAGCAGAUGCCAGCACCACGCUUCCUAUACAGCCUGCCAAAAUCAUCCCGCCUCCAGAGCCCUGUGGGUUGAAGACCGCUGUGCUCUUUUCUUUCGGCUUCACACGCUGGUUAGUCUUCUGUUUGCUUUGUCAGCACGGUACUUUUCAUUUCCUUCGUGGUGUUUUUAGGAGCUCCUGAAUUUCACAGACAAAUCCAGACCCCUGUGUGGAAAGCCUGCGGUGGUGUUCUCCGUCUUCCCACAGGACUCCCUGCAGCCAGGAAUUCUAGGGGAGCACCUGACGCGAGGUAUACGCCCAGAUGGCCUGAAGUAACUGAAGAAUCACAAAAGAAGUGAAAAUGUCCUGCCCCGCCUUAACUGAUGACAUUCCACCACAAAGGAAGUGUCAAUGGCUGGUCCUUGCCUUAACUGAUGACAUUCCACCGCAAAAGAAGUGAAAAUGGCCGGUCCUUGCCUUAACUGAUGACAUUACACCACAAAAGAAGUGAAAAUGGCCGGUCCUUGCCUUAAGUGAUGGCAUUACCUUGUGAAAGUCCUUUUCCUGGCUCAUUCUGGCUCAAAAUCACCCCCACUGAGCACCUUGUGACCCCCACUCCUGCCCGCCAGGGAACAAUCCCCCUUUGACUGUAAUUUUCCUUUACCUACCCAAAUCUUAUAAAAUGGCCCCACCCCUAUCUCCCUUUGCUGACUCUCUUUUUGGACUCAGCCUGCCUGCAUCCAGGUGAUUAAAAGCUUUUAUUGCUCACACA
rnacentral:lncRNA from 1 species